UCGGGAAUUUUGCUCAAUGGGCGAAAGCCUGAAGCAGCAACGCCGCGUGAGGGAUGAAGGCCUUCGGGUUGUAAACCUCUUUUCCCAGGGACGAUGAUGACGGUACCUGGGGAAUAAGCCACGGCUAACUACGUGCCAGCAGCCGCGGUAAUACGUAGGUGGCAAGCGUUGUCCGGAUUUACUGGGCGUAAAGAGCGCGCAGGCGGCCGAGUCAGUCGAAUGUGAAAGCCCCCGGCUCAACUGGGGAGGGUCAUUCGAUACUGCUCGGCUUGAAGAUAGGAGAGGGAAGCGGAAUUUCAGGUGUAGUGGUGAAAUGCGUAGAUAUCUGAAGGAACACCAGUGGCGAAGGCGGCUUUCUGGCCUAUUCUUGACGCUGAGGCGCGAAAGCUAGGGGAGCAAACG
rnacentral:rRNA from 1 species